UUAGGUCGAGAUAGAAAAGCCGCCAAUAAGACUGUGAGGCGGGACAUUCUUUGGGAACUGAAUGUUUCAGGAUCGUUGGUUUGUGUUUGGUGUUUUGUUGUAUGAAGCAGCGUGACGCUUAUAACUAUAACGCGGUCACACAAUUCUUGCCAUCUAUGCCGGCCCUGGUUGCUCAUUGUGUGCUGUGAAGUCACGAUUUCUAUGAACCAACCCAUCAAACCCAUCAAACUUUGCGUGAAGCGGCAGCAGUGUUCAGUGAUCUGCACCUUGGUGAAGAACUAUUGUUUAGUCAGGCGUGACUCCCAGGCUUGCUCCUCCACGCGGUAGGAAACUCUAUUCCUUCCUUAUAAUGCAUUUCUGAGUCAUGCUACAAGUGUGCUGAUGUCAGGAAUGUAUAAGACGCUUUGGCUGAUGAUGAUAGAAGCAAGAAGCAGUAAAAAUGAGGUAUCCAACCAAUCACUUAGAGCCCAUCCCCCCUCCUGCUAUGCUGCUCACAGCCUCAGGUGGCUCGCAACAACAUACAACAUUCAUUGCAAGCAUUGUGACUAAAACCUUUGCCAUGCACCACCUAAGACUUUAGAACAUAAUUUUUGGAUAUGAGAAGUGCAAUGUGCUCACAAAAAAUGUGUGGAACAAAUGUAUACAUCAAAAAAGGAUUACAAAUGAGAGAAAAGACAAAAAUUACACUGAAGACAAUGAAGAAGAAGAGGAUGACAGAAAAAGAAUUGACAACCAAAAACUAUGCACUUGGAGAAUUUUGACUGAAUCUUGCUACAAUGUGGGGCAUGGCACAUCCUGACAGUCUCACCUUUGAGAGAUUAAUACCUUUAUAAGGGGAGAUGAGGUGCCAGCUCCUUUAUACAUUCAUUAAUGUGUGAUUGAUGCAAUAAAAUCCAUAUGAAGGCAGCAUUGACAGUAUAAGGUGUCUUCUAUUUAUAGCACUGAUCAGCUCUAGAUCAUUGACUUGGAUCUGGAUCUGAUAUGGAUUCACAUUGGAUAAAAAGAACACUUGUGGCCAUUAAUGAUCAAAACAAUCAAUAACAACACAUCAAUAACAACACAAGCAUGUCGCUGCCCAGCUGUCACAAGCGGCAGACUGUUGAUGCUCACCACUGUGCUCUAAGGAGCACUUUCUGAGGAAGUUGGGCCAAGAAGGUCACCAAUGAGUCACAGGCAGCAUGAGACUGGAUUCUGUGGCCAUAAGGACAUAAGGUGAGGUUAACAUUGUAUUAUAAAGUUCCACACAAAGCUCUCUUCAUACAGCAUGCUGAAUGUACUCCCUGUGGUGAAUAACAAAAUGGUAAAA